GAUGAACGCUGGCGGCGUGCCUAAUACAUGCAAGUCGAGCGAACAGACGAGGAGCUUGCUCCUCUGACGUUAGCGGCGGACGGGUGAGUCACACGUGGAUAACCUACCUAUAAGACUGGGAUAACUUCGGGAAACCGGAGCUCAUACCGGAAAAUAUAUUGACCCGCAGGGUUCAAUAGUGAAAGACGGUUUUGCUGUCACUUAUAGACGGAUCCGCGCCGCCUUAGGUAGUUGGUAAGGUAACGGCUUACCAAGGCAACGAUGUGUAACCGACCUGUGAGGGGGGUCGGCCACCCUGGGACUGAGACACGGUCCAGACUCCUACGGGAGGCAGCAGUAGGGAAUCUUCCGAAAUGGGCGGAAGCCUGACGGAUGAACGCCGCCCGAGUGCUGAAGGUCCUCGGAUCGUAAAACUCUGUUAUUAGGGAAGAACAAAUGUGUAAGUAACUAUGCACGGCUUGACGGUACCUAAUCAGAAAGCAACGGCUAACUACGUG
rnacentral:rRNA from 1 species